rnacentral:rRNA from 1 species
AUUGAACGCUGGCGGCAGGCCUAACACAUGCAAGUCGAGCGCGCGGCGGACGGGUGAGUAUUGUAUGUGGGUCUGCCCGAUAGAGGGGGAGAAAUACUGGAAACGGUAGCUAAUACCGCAUCCUAUCUGAUGAACCCAGAUGGGAUUUGCUAGUAGGUGAGGUAAUGGCUCACCUAGGCGACGAGCCCUAGCUGGUAGGAGAGGAUGAUCAGCCACACUGGGACUGAGACACGGCCCAGACUCCUACGGGAGGCAGCAGUGGGGAAUAUUGCACAAUGGGCGCAAGCCUGAUGCAGCCAUGCCGCGUGUAUGAUGAAGGCCUUCGGGUUGUAAAGUACUGUUGGCAGAGAAGCGGUAUCUGCAGAAUAAGCACCGGCUAACUACGUGCCAGCCGCCGCGGUAAUUC